rnacentral:rRNA from 1 species
AACGAACGCUGGCGGCAGGCCUAACACAUGCAAGUCGAACGCCGUAGCAAUACGGAGUGGCAGACGGGUGAGUAACGCGUGGGAACAUACCCUUUGGUUCGGGAUAACUCAGGGAAACUUGAGCUAAUACCGGAUACGUUCGCGAGAAGAAAGAUUUAUCGCCGAAGGAUUGGCCCGCGUCUGGUUAGCUAGUUGGUGUGGUAACGGCGCACCAAGGCGACGAUCAGUAGCUGGUCUGAGAGGAUGAUCAGCCACAUUGGGACUGAGACACGGCCCAAACUCCUACGGGAGGCAGCAGUGGGGAAUAUUGGACAAUGGGCGCAAGCCUGAUCCAGCCAUGCCGCGUGAGUGAUGAAGGCCUUAGGGUUGUAAAGCUCUUUUACCU